UUUUAACACAUUAAACACACUUCUGUACAGUGGGCAGUUUUUGUAUAACUAAGUCUGCUUGAAAAGAGCUGCUGUGAGACAGAUGCCAGAGUGGCUCAGCGGCUCUGCAUGGGUGGCCUGAAGUGGAAGCUCUGAACCUUUGCUGGGGGAAACAACAUCAGCCAAAUGACUGAAUAAUUGAAUGACCAAAUGAAACAGCCUGCGCUGCCGACUGGAUCAAUAGACUCCACCACUCUCCAUUAGCACUGAAAAUAUGCCCAGGGCGCGGAUCAGAGAUCUCAUCUCCAGAGACAUCUUCGUAGUUACUGAGGCAGAAAGGCACUUCUGGAUUUCACAUGAGGAGUUAGCAGGUGACCACAGAGGUGAUUGGAUAUAAUCUUGCCAUGGACCUACUGCACACACAGGUGCUCCAACUUUACCAAGGAGAUUCAGCUCCACUGAAGAAGGAAGGAAGAAACAGAAAAAUGAAUCCAACCCUCCAAGAUCAUAGCAGAUGAUGCAGGAUCCUCUAACUUCUCUAAGCGUUAUGUGGGAAGGCUGGUGCCGUUUUUAUGCAGAAAAAUGAGAAAUGCAUCCAGUUGUUGUUGACAUUGAUUUAUUAUGCAAAGCUAUCUCAAUCUACUGUCCAAUAUGUUGCUUCUCUUUUGUUUGCUGUCACAAAUUUAUGGCAUUUGGGUGAUUUUUCCUUCAUUUUUUCCCCUUCCGUUUCCCGCCGUCCCAUUAAUCUAAACAGAAAGAUGUUGUGUGACUAUAAUAAC